GUGCUCACUUCACAAACGUAUACUAAAAUUGGAAUGAAACAAAGAAGAUUAGCAUGGCCCCUGCACAAGUAUGACACACAAAUUCAUGAAGCACUCCAUAUUUUU
rnacentral:snRNA from 1 species